AGCAGCGUGGCCCGGUGGAGCGAGGGCACGGGCCUGGAAACCCGCAGAACCUGGGUUCAAAUCCCUGCUCUGCCA
rnacentral:tRNA from 1 species